GAUGAACGCUAGCGGCAGGCCUAACACAUGCAAGUCGAGGGGUAGAGAUUGCUUGCGAUCUUGAGACCGGCGCACGGGUGCGUAACGCGUAUACAAUCUGCCUCUUACUGCGGGAUAGCCCAGGGAAACUUGGAUUAACACCGCAUAGCAUAGUGUUCCGGCAUCGGGACGUUAUUAAAGGUUACGGUAAGAGAUGAGUAUGCGUCCUAUUAGCUAGUUGGUAAGGUAACGGCUUACCAAGGCAACGAUAGGUAGGGGCCCUGAGAGGGGGAUCCCCCACACUGGUACUGAGACACGGACCAGACUCCUACGGGAGGCAGCAGUGAGGAAUAUUGGACAAUGGGCGCAAGCCUGAUCCAGCCAUGCCGCGUGCAGGAAGACGGCCCUAUGGGUUGUAAACUGCUUUUAUAGUAGAAGAAACACAUCUACGUGUAGAUGUCUGCCAGUAUACUAUGAAUAAGCAUCGGCUAACUCCGUGCCAGCAGCCG
rnacentral:rRNA from 1 species